rnacentral:rRNA from 1 species
UGGCUCAGAUUGAACGCUGGCGGCAGGCCUAACACAUGCAAGUCGAGCGGAAACGAGUUAUCUGAACCUUCGGGGAACGAUAACGGCGUCGAGCGGCGGACGGGUGAGUAAUGCCUAGGAAAUUGCCCUGAUGUGGGGGAUAACCAUUGGAAACGAUGGCUAAUACCGCAUGAUGCCUACGGGCCAAAGAGGGGGACCUUCGGGCCUCUCGCGUCAGGAUAUGCCUAGGUGGGAUUAGCUAGUUGGUGAGGUAAGGGCUCACCAAGGCGACGAUCCCUAGCUGGUCUGAGAGGAUGAUCAGCCACACUGGAACUGAGACACGGUCCAGACUCCUACGGGAGGCAGCAGUGGGGAAUAUUGCACAAUGGGCGCAAGCCUGAUGCAGCCAUGCCGCGUGUGUGAAGAAGGCCUUCGGGUUGUAAAGCACUUUCAGUCGUGAGGAAGGUAGUGUAGUUAAUAGCUGCAUUAUUUGACGUUAGCGACAGAAGAAGCACCGGCUAACUCCGUGCCAGCAGCCGCGGUAAUACGGAGGGUGCGAGCGUUAAUCGGAAUUACUGGGCGUAAAGCGCAUGCAGGUGGUUUGUUAAGUCAGAUGUGAAAGCCCGGGGCUCAACCUCGGAAUAGCAUUUGAAACUGGCAGACUAGAGUACUGUAGAGGGGGGUAGAAUUUCAGGUGUAGCGGUGAAAUGCGUAGAGAUCUGAAGGAAUACCGGUGGCGAAGGCGGCCCCCUGGACAGAUACUGACACUCAGAUGCGAAAGCGUGGGGAGCAAACAGGAUUAGAUACCCUGGUAGUCCACGCCGUAAACGAUGUCUACUUGGAGGUUGUGGCCUUGAGCCGUGGCUUUCGGAGCUAACGCGUUAAGUAGACCGCCUGGGGAGUACGGUCGCAAGAUUAAAACUCAAAUGAAUUGACGGGGGCCCGCACAAGCGGUGGAGCAUGUGGUUUAAUUCGAUGCAACGCGAAGAACCUUACCUACUCUUGACAUCCAGAGAACUUUCCAGAGAUGGAUUGGUGCCUUCGGGAACUCUGAGACAGGUGCUGCAUGGCUGUCGUCAGCUCGUGUUGUGAAAUGUUGGGUUAAGUCCCGCAACGAGCGCAACCCUUAUCCUUGUUUGCCAGCGAGUAAUGUCGGGAACUCCAGGGAGACUGCCGGUGAUAAACCGGAGGAAGGUGGGGACGACGUCAAGUCAUCAUGGCCCUUACGAGUAGGGCUACACACGUGCUACAAUGGCGCAUACAGAGGGCGGCCAACUUGCGAAAGUGAGCGAAUCCCAAAAAGUGCGUCGUAGUCCGGAUUGGAGUCUGCAACUCGACUCCAUGAAGUCGGAAUCGCUAGUAAUCGUGGAUCAGAAUGCCACGGUGAAUACGUUCCCGGGCCUUGUACACACCGCCCGUCACACCAUGGGAGUGGGCUGCAAAAGAAGUAGGUAGUUUAACCUUCGGGGGGACGCUUACCACUU